rnacentral:rRNA from 1 species
GACGAACGCUGGCGGCGUGCUUAACACAUGCAAGUCGAACGGAAAGGCCCUGCUUUUGUGGGGUGCUCGAGUGGCGAACGGGUGAGUAACACGUGAGUAACCUGCCCUUGACUUUGGGAUAACUUCAGGAAACUGGGGCUCAUACCGGAUAGGAGCUCCUGCUGCAUGGUGGGGGUUGGUAGGUUUAGGCGGUUGGGGAUGGACUCGCGGCCUAUCGGCUUGUUGGUGGGGUAGUGGCUUACCAAGGCUUUGACAGGUAGCCGGCCUGCGCGGGUGACCGGCCACGUUGGGACUGAGAUGCGGCACAGACUCCUACGGGAGGCAGCAGUGGGGAAUAUUGCACAAUGGGCGGAAGCCUGAUGCAGCAACGCCGCGUGCGGGAUGACGGCCUUCGGGUUGUAAACCGCUUUCGCCUGUGACGAAGCGUGAGUGACGGUAAUGGGUAAAGAAGCACCGGCUAACUACGUG